UACGGAGGGAGCUAGCGUUGUUCGGAAUUACUGGGCGUAAAGCGCGCGUAGGCGGCUUUGUAAGUUAGAGGUGAAAGCCCGGGGCUCAACCCCGGAAUUGCCUUUAAGACUGCAUCGCUUGAAUCCGGGAGAGGUGAGUGGAAUUCCGAGUGUAGAGGUGAAAUGCGUAGAUAUCGGGAGGAACACCUGUGGCGAAAGCGGCUCACUGGACCACAACUGACGCUGAGGCGCGAAAGCUAGGGGAGCAAACAGG
rnacentral:rRNA from 1 species